CCACUCAAAAUUUCCCACUUUUAAAAGUUAACCGCCCAUUCAUUAAUUCCCCUUUCUCCCCUACAUCUCAGCCAUAAAUCGGUUCCCCUGCCCCCAAAUCCAACUGCGAUAAACAGAGAGAUUGAGUUGUGGAUGAUUCUUAAAGAUGAUUUGAUCACAGUUGCUCACCGUUACAGCGACGAAGGAUUCUCUCUAUAUCUCUUGUUGUCCACUGCACUACGUUCGCACCACCACAUUUUGCACACAAUCUAUUUGAUGAAAUGCCACAUAGAGCUGGGAAUUCUGGAAAUAUCCUUUUGGUCAUAGUCCUUGCAAUAUGCAUCUAGGGUGGUAUCCAUGGUUGUAAAAGUCCCGCCUAGGCUCCGAGUAUUCCCCGAGUACUCGCUACAAGGUAGGCUGCCGAGGCACGAGUACUGGUCUCCCAGGCCAAUUACUCCCCGAGUAAUCUCCGCCUAAGCCGAGUACUUCCCGAGUACUCCCGAAUCCGACUAGGGAGCGCCUAACGACUUUUGCAACCAUGGUGGUAUCCCUUUUGGAGAACAAUUGUCUGUAAGUCCAAGGCACUCUCCUAUUCGUCCUUCUUCAAGGGUAUAUCAUCCUUUUAAUUUAUUUUAUACAUUUAGAUAUUUUGUUUUUUUUGUUUUUCAAAAAUGGAAUACACAAGAGAAGACUUCGGAUGAGGAAAUUGAAUCUAUGGUCCUAGACUUGAUGGAGCGUUGGAUUAAGGAGGUGUUUGGGGUCCGGACAUGAACUCCGUAAAGGUAUCUCAAGGAGCUAGCGAGAUUGUUUUUGCACAUGAAAAGCAGAUAAUUGUCAAAAGCCAUCAGUGAGAUACGAUAAUAUUAACCAUGUGUAACACAGACCGCGCCCGUGUAUCAGUCUAGUCUCUUAAUGACAUGUUUUUGCAAUGUAGUUCGUGCUGCUAUACAGUUGAAAUUUGAUUUUCAUAGGGCACUGUUUGAGUUAGUUUAAAGAACUUUUCUUCUCUACAAUUCCGGUUGCAAGCAUGGAUUGAAGAUGUUGGUUUGGGUUAAAAGUAUGAAGACAUCGGUCGGUUCAGGAAGUUAUUGUAUAUCACUUUCAUAUUUAGAGUUAUAUGUAUUGUUGUGUUAGAGGAAAACUUUUGUAAUAGUGUGUUACUUUGAAAACUUUGUAUUUUAUAUUCUUAGGUUGUAUUAUAUUCAUUCUAAUUAAUUUUGUUUUUUAUA